rnacentral:rRNA from 1 species
GACGAACGCUGGCGGCGUGCUUAACACAUGCAAGUCGAACGGAAAGGCCUUUUCGGUGGUACUCGAGUGGCGAACGGGUGAGUAACACGUGGGUGAUCUGCCCUGCACUCUGGGAUAAGCCUGGGAAACUGGGUCUAAUACCGGAUAGGACCGCACUUUAGUGUGUGUGGUGGAAAGUUUUUUCGGUGUAGGAUGAGCCCGCGGCCUAUCAGCUUGUUGGUGGGGUAAUGGCCUACCAAGGCGGCGACGGGUAGCCGGACUGAGAGGUUGGUCGGCCACAUUGGGACUGAGAUACGGCCCAGACUCCUGCGGGAGGCAGCAGUGGGGAAUAUUGCACAAUGGGCGCAAGCCUGAUGCAGCGACGCCGCGUGGGGGAUGACGGCCUUCGGGUUGUAAACUCCUUUCGCCAGGGACGAAGCGUUUUGUGACGGUACCUGGAGAAGAAGCACCGGCUAACUACGUG